GAAACGGGCGCUAAUACCGCAUACGUCCUGAGGGAGAAAGUGGGGGAUCUUCGGACCUCACGCUAUCAGAUGAGCCUAGGUCGGAUUAGCUAGUUGGUGGGGUAAAGGCCUACCAAGGCGACGAUCCGUAACUGGUCUGAGAGGAUGAUCAGUCACACUGGAACUGAGACACGGUCCAGACUCCUACGGGAGGCAGCAGUGGGGAAUAUUGGACCAAUGGGCGAAAGCCUGAUCCAGCCAUGCCGAGUGUGUGAAGAAGGUCUUCGGAUUGUAAAGCACUUUAAGUUGGGAGGAAGGGCAGUAAGUUAAUACCUGGCUCGUUUUGACGUUACCAACAGAAUAAGCACCGGCUAACUUCGUGCCAGCAGCCGCGGUAAUACGAAGGGUGCAAGCGUUAAUCGGAAUUACUGGGCGUAAAGCGCGCGUAGGUGGUUCAGCAAGUUGGAUGUGAAAUCCCCGGGCUCAACCUGGGAACUGCAUCCAAAACUACUGAGCUAGAGUACGGUAGAGGGUGGUGGAAUUUCCUGUGUAGCGGUGAAAUGCGUAGAUAUAGGAAGGAACACCAGUGGCGAAGGCGACCACCUGGACUGAUACUGACACUG
rnacentral:rRNA from 1 species